GCAAGACCUUUGAAGUUUUGUUCUAAGGGAGGAUAACUGAUCUCUCUUUUCUCACCGGAUGCCAGUGUGGGAGCAAUGCAGAGAGAGCCUGCUGGGAGCCUGGAGCAGCUUGGAGCCAUCACUUUGUUCCCAUCACUUUGAACCCACCACCUCGGGUGAAGAGUUGGAGUGCUUCCCUCUCAAAAAGCACCUGCAUUUUAGAGCACCACGGAGGAGCAGGUGCUUUGCUCUGGUGUUUCUUAUUGUGUGGCCAUCGUUUCCCUUUGCUUCGGGGCUUCCAUCCCCCCCUGCGGCUCCGCGCUGGGAUCGCUGCUUGUUGGAUCCCAUUGUUUUCGGAGAGCGGCUCCGCACGAGAGGGAGGAGCUUGGCUGGGAGCAGCUCUGCCGGGUUUGGAUUUUCUUUUUUUCUUCCCCCCACCCCCCUUAAUUUUCCCAGUCAUUGUCACCGCUGCUGACGGCUUCUUGUAGAUCCAGCUCCACUAGAGGGCAAUGUGAUCUGGCGUGGGAAAGGCAACGAGCCGGCCGGGGAAUGGCACGAGCGCACCUAUGGAGAGGAUGGUGGUGGGCGAUUGUAGGCACUGGUCUGGCGUGGGGCUGAGCCAAGGGUUCGGCUUAUCCCUGAGUGGGACCCCGGUGCUGUGUGAGAGCGUCUCCUGUGUCGCUGCCAACAGUGCAGAGACAGGACAGAACCCGACGGUCCACGAAUAUCUCGGAAAAGGCGGGGGAAAAGCCCCAAGUACUGCUGAGCGCUGCUGAAAUGGCAAAGCAAAGGCGUGGGUGGGGGGACGGAUGACAUGCACAAGUACGUGUUCCUGCUGCAAGCAGAGGAGCCUGCUCUGGACACAUCUUUCUCCUCCCUGGAGAUGUCAAGGAUGAUUGCUCUGUGCUUUGAGCACUGUCCAGUGUGGUGGGAGGUGACAGUGCCUGUCACAAGUUGUCUGUUCUCUUGUCCUCCCCGGGGUAGGGGGAGGUGGGUGUUUUCAUAGGGUUUGGGGGGAUUGUAUUUUAUUCAAAAUAUUGAAGGUAAAAGAGAGGGUCACCUUCCUUCCCUGGUCUGGGUGAGUAAGGUUUGUUACAACAACACAUCACUCUGUUUUGGGACAGUAUAUGAUGAAGUGUGGCUUCUCUGGGACACAGAAAGCUGUGAAAACUGAGUUUCAUUGUGUUGUGGGGUUUUUUUUGUUUGUUUGUUUGUUUUGGGGUUUUUUUUGGUUUGGUUUUUUUUUUUUUUUUAAUUUUUGCUUUUUUAAGGGUGUGGGGGUUACCUGAUUAUCUGUGCUUUGUUACAGACAAUCAGGCACGACAAAAACAGCAGGAAUGCACCCACAAGGGAAUGGAGGCAGGGGAAUGCUCCAGACAGGGAAGGCUGUGGAGCAGCAUGAGCCAUGAUGGAGGGGCCGUGGGAACCUACCACAGCUCUUGGUGGCCAAACCCUUCUUGAGCCCAGGGUGGUCCUGGCUCUGCUGUAAGCUGGUUUCUGGAGCAGACACAACCAAGUCUAAGGGCUCCCCAUGGGGGAGGCAACACCACAACAGCUGCCUGCCCUGCUGGAAAUUGCAUCCAUUAAAUUUAACGUGGAACCUGCUGCAAGAUGGCACAUCAAUAAAAAACUUGAAUUGCUGACUUUGACAUUCUCUCACAUGAAAACUGACCUUGGGAGAUGAUGAAAUGCAGCUGUGCUGAGGAGUGACCUAAUGACGUUUGCUUUUGGUUAUUCUAGGCUUUCUUGAACUUUUGGUAGGUGUUUUCACUGCAUCAACACUGUAGUAGCUCUCCUCUCCUCCUGCCCAACACCUUGGGCACCAGCAUGUGGGACUUGGUGACCCCUUCCAGAAGGCUGGCAAGAAAGCAAAAUUAAUUCCAGCUAAGUACAUUGUGUCUUUGUUUUUCUUCUGUGGUUUAUUUUUCUUUAAUUUCAUCUGCUCCAAAUUUGGCUAGGCAGAAAUUUCCACUUCAACCCAAUCUGUGAGCUUUUGACAGACAGGCUUAUUUAAGACCUACAGCUGGAAGAGGUAAUUAAGGUUUCACUGAAAAUGCAACUUCUUGACCUAAGGCAAAAGUACUAAAUUUCAACUUAGUUUUACUUUAUGAUCUCAGGUUCAACUUCACAGCUGUGUAACAUUUUACUGCUGAUUGUGGAAACAGGGAGCUUGCAUCCCCCUUCUGUUUUUGUGGUGGAAGCUCACAAAGGCAUAAAAAAGCCCCUGAAAACACAUUUCUCUCCCUUCACAAAGCCUGUGACAGGUUUCUGCCAGUGGCAGGGGGGCAUUAUUUUUAUUAUCAACUAAUGUUUAGUAUUAGAGGUGCUGGGCAGAGCAGUAUAGUCCUCAUCCCAGAAGCUCUAGGGAAAGGGUAAGUGAGGAACAUGGGCAGCAGAAGGUGUGGUGAAGAGCAGAAGGCUCUGGCCUGCCAUGUCCAGAGCCCUGUUGGAUUCCCAAAGCCUGUGAGUGGCAUCACCAGCAGGUGAUGUUCAGGGGCAGUUCAGUGUUGUAGCAUGUAGGUGGCAAGUGAUGGGUGUGCAGGGGCUGAAGGGGAUGGACAAGGAGCAAGCUUUGGCUUCCCGUCCAGAAGCCUGGUCCAGACUGGGUUUGCAUUAGCCAUGUGGAGAGCUGGUGCGGUGCAAUGAAGCAAGACUCCCCAGGGGAAGCUUGAUCCUUUCCCAAAGCAUGUUUCCACCUCUAGUCUUGGCUCCCUGCUCUCCCACUCCUACAUCCACGGGGCUGCUGGUUUAACCUGGGGAGCAUUUUGGAGUCAACCUCCUUAGCAGCCCCUUGGGAUAAAGCUGUUCCCCAAGGACCAGAAGGUCAUGUCAACAGCCUGGGCGAGAUCUCAGUCAGGCAUAAGGGGCUGGCAACCAAAGGAGCUGUGGGAACUUCCAGAUACAAAUACACCCAGGUCCUCUGCAGAGCAGCACAGAGAGGCAAGGAGAAAACCACCAGGUUGAGAGGUGUUUUAUCCAAGCUGGUGUGGGGUAUCCACCCUUUGACAAGGUUUAGAGAGGGGGAAACCCACUUCCUCAGUACUCUCCUUGUGAACCAGGAUGCAGGUUGUUGGGUUUUAGGAGUUUAAUUUAAAAGGGCCACUUUUGUGUUUGGUGCCUGCCAUUGGAAUGGGAAGCCUGUGUGGGUUGUGAGUUGACAGGGGUGACUCUAACUCCAGGUUAGAGGAACAGGUCUGUCCUUGGCAGAGUACAGCAGUCUUUUAAAAGCUUCAGAAAAUACACAUUAAAUUAAUUUUUUUUCUAUUUAAGGUGCAGCAAACAAGCACUUUUAAAUGUUCACCUCCACUGUAGGACUGGUGUUGUGGGAGCCAGAGUCUGUCCUUGUUUCACCAGGACUGGGAUGAGUCCUGUCUCCAUGCCUGGUUCUUGCACUGCUGGCAUGAGCUUUGGAGCUUCCAGCCCUGAGAGCGUCCCAGGCAAUACCUGCCCCAGGUCAACUAUGGCCCCCAGAGCUCUAAAUGUGCUUCCAGCCCCUUGCCCAGCAUUGGCCAUUGGGAUGGGAGGGGAAGCUGCACCUUGCCUGCAAGUCCCCAAGAGCAAUUUCCAUACCAGAGUUGGGGGGAAAUUUAGGCCUAGCUCAGGGAAAGGGUGUGUAAAACUAACACUACAACCACCUGGAAUAUGCUCAAAUGGAAAUAUACUCAAAUUUCAUAAAAAUCAAUAAAGAAAAAAGUAGUCUAGAACCUUUAGAAAAUCAGAUACUCAAAUUUUUUGUCAUAGAACAGCAUUCCAGACUGAUUUUUUUUGUUUAUUAACUUGCAGGCAUCCUUGAACCACCUUCUCCUUCGUCCCCUUCAACCUGUCUAAAGGUUUUCCUGGAAAGAGUGGACAAGGAAACUACUGAUGCUCAAUGGAGAACUUAAAACCAAUUCUGUUAGAAUGAAGACUUUUAAAAUAACUGCAAGGAUGAACCUUGUUCCAUGUUCUGGGAAAACUUUACUUGGUUAAUUCUCUUGGAUGAAUCACUGCUGUUAACAGGAAAGCCCUGCUGGUCUUGUCUCUACUGCUUCCUCUUACACCAGUACCUCAUCUCCAGAGUAUGUGCUGUUAAUCCUGUCUGAAGCCUGUUGCUGCCUUAAAAUUCUCCCUUUUUGGUUGGUUGGGGUUGUUGCUACUGUUUAUUAACAAGCAUAGUUAAAACAUGCUACUGCUUUUUGCUUCGUGCCAGGAUGCAGAUUUGUCUGACCUCAACAUCAGGAGCUGGAUGAGAGGGGAACCACGAGCUUGGUUUGCUGAUCCAGUGAAUACCUGCUCCUGGAGUUUGGAUCACUGCUGUCACAACCCCCUUGCCACAGAGCAGUGGUGCACCAUCCUCUGCACAUCCAAGGGGGCUUAAAGCAUUCUGACAAGGAAACGGUAUUGGCCGGCUUGAUGUAAGAUCAGACAGAGUUUUUCAGGGCUGCUCCAGCCACAUGGUUCAUUGGAGAUUACCCAUCUUCUCACAGCUGGCAUGGCCCUGGCAUGUAGCACCCAGCCAACCACAGCACACAGGGUAAUUCAGUUUCCCUGUGCUUCUACCUGGCCAGGACCAGUUUUGGACCGUGGGUGACCUGCUGGUACUCACACUUGGAGAGGGUGAUGCCAUGGCUGGAAAUGGGCUCGUUCCACCCUGCACCUGGCAAAUACUGCAAAGGAACAGUGUUUUAGGUGGGCAGGAACACAGACUCCAGGGGACUGCCAAUGUGCUCGGGUAACCCAGCCCAGGCAAAGCUCUGCUGAGGCACAGACCAUCAGCCCUGAACAGGGGAGGAGCUCAUGUGGUCCUCAGCCUCCAUGAACCCAGAGGCAGCUGAAGGGGUGUAGUCUGAGCCUGGAGGGUCUAUUCUUGUCACAGUCAGAAGUGCGGUAUUUGUGAAAGAGGAGAUGGACUGUGUUUGCUCAGUGGUCCCAGGAGAAGCUGUGUCCUGGGGAGCAGAGAGUGGGAGGCAAAGGGAAAAGCAGAGAGCAAUUUAAAGGUUCUUCAUUCGGUGCCUGUGCUGUGGGGUCAGUGAGGAGGCUGUUUGGGAGCUUAUGGCACUGCCACUGCAUUGUGGUGUUUGCUAACAUAGCUUCUAAACCCAAGGGGGAGAGAGAGAGAGGGGAGGAAAUCAACUGAAAAUUUUGUUUUAAUUUAAAAUAAAAUCCUUUAGAUUUGGUGAUGCAGAAAAUGAGAAUAACUUUAUCCCUGUCGAAAUAUUUUUUGACAGGGUUUUGUGUGCAGACUGCCUCAUUUUCAUCAAUUUUGCAAUAAAAAGCACCCGACUUCUCACCGUG